AGAUCACUGCAAGAAGUCCUAGGAGUCACUCCAGCCGGAAGAGACACUCGGGGAAGCAUGAUCGUCAUGCCCUUCAUUCUGCUUCCUAGGCCGACUGGGACAGACGGUGUGGCCAAUGCUCACACCAUGGAGAACUCAUCCAGGGGCCCAAGAGAGACCAGGGAGCCUGCUCCUCCCACAAGGUCCUGGAGGGGCCUCUUGCAGAGAGCUGUGGCGUGCAUGUCCAAGUUCUUCAGGAGAAGACGCCGAUUGGCCCGAGACUGAGACCACUGGACUCCUAGACACUGGGCGGGGCCAAGGCCUGUGAUCAGGAUCAUCAACUGCUCAGGUCCUUGUUGUCCCAAGAAUCUUGUCCAGUGAUGUUGAAAUAAAUGCUGGCGUAUUUUACAUUGGUCUUUG